AGAAAUAGAAUGAAAGUUGGCCCGCUGUUCAGCAGGUUUUUAUAAUGUGAGAUUCAAAGUUUGAACGCUAGAUGUCAGAAACGGGCCAAAGAGUCUAAAAGCGGAGAGAGUGCGCAUUUCUAACGCAGAAAAACAGAGCAAAGAGUCUAAAAGCGGAGAGAGUGAAGUUUUAGCGCAGAAAAACGGACCAAAGAGUCUAAAAGCGGAGAGAGUGCUCAUUUCUAGUGCAGAAAAACGGGCAAAAGAGUCUAAAAGCGGAGAGAGUGCUCAUUUCUAGUGCAGAAAAACGGGCAAAAGAGUGUAAAAGUUGCCAUAAUUAAGGAGUUUAAUAUUAAGAGACAUCAUGAAAUUAAACAUCAAACAUCAAAAAAUCUUAGUUUACACAACACUGUCAAAGAUAAAGAUAGUAAGUCAAGAAAAUGGUGUUUAAAUGAAAUAAUCAGGAAAAAAGUAUUAUUUAAAGUGGUAUAUUUCAUUAUUUGUUUUAUUACGGAGUCUGUGGCCCGUGACUUCAAAUAUAUUUCUCCUUCUGGCCCCCAACAAAAAAAGUUUGGACACCCCUGCUAUAUAGUAUAGUUCCGUUACAGUUGUAGUUUAUAAGCAUGUUGUGCAGCUUCAGACUGAGACUGUGUUCCAGGGCAUGAUGAAUGGCAGCAGUGGGUCAAGUCUAAAGAGCAUGGAAAUGAGUGUAGUGCCGUAAACAUUUGGGGAAAAAAAUUCACUUUGUCCCUUUUCUGAGGCCUCUGUCCACUCUUGUGGUGACCUCUGACGCUGGCCAUGAUGGCCACUGGCCUCUCUGACUCUCUUGCGCUGACAUUUGGAGAGUUUGGCGAGUUCUAACCACUUUUUCCUAUCAUAAAAUAACAUUAAAAAUAACCUACUCCAAAGUAUUUAUGCCUUUAAAUAGAAUCGCAUUCUCACUUUUUUAAAAAAAAGAAGGGCCAAAUCGCUUCACGUGUCAACUGUUUUGAAGGUUUCCUAAACUGAAUUGGUGUUCAGCCUCUUUGCCGCUCAGUGAUUUCAGGUUUGUAAAUAGUGAAAGUGAUCAGAAGUGUGCACUUAACAUUUCCUAACUGUGUUUCUCUGUGUGUGUGGAUUUAUUCCGAUGUAAAAGUAGUGACGGUCUGCCAUGUGUAGUGUAGUGGAAGGAGUACUCUAAACUGGUGCCAUAUAGACUCCUUCUCUCUCUCUCUCUCUCUCUCUCUCUCUCUCUCUCUUUUUCUCUCUCUCUCGGUCAGUUUUCUCAUUGUGUUUGAUCAUCCGAUCAGGGGUGAACAUCUCUUAUAGUCUCAUAAGACUUAAAAAAACAUUAAAUAAGAUAAAAAGACCCCCGUAUACGUGUGAGGGACGAGCAUCAAAUCAGAUAUUUAAGUGCAAUAUUAAAAAGUGGAGAAGAUGAAGAGUCAAAAAAUAGAAAAUAGCUCAUAAAAUUUACAAUAGAAAUAGAAACAAAGGCUACGUUCACACAGCAGUGGUACCAGUGGCCCAAAUCCGAUCUUUGUGAAUAGCACAAAAAAAAACACACUGAAUUAUAGAAAUUUUUUCGAUUCUGAAUUAACACUUUCAGACCUGAGUUAGUUGCAGUGAUGAAAAAAAAAAUCUGAAUUAUUUUAAUUUUUGUAAUGCAUUCAAAACAAUACUUAUACAAGCAAUACUUUUAUUUUUUGUGUAUUUUUUUGGGGCAUUGUAGUGGAAUCAUUUGUUCAAGAUUAUUAUUUUUAUUUUAUUUAACUGUUGCAUACUAUAUUUUUGCAUUAUAAGGCGCACUAAAAAUCCUGUAAUUUUUCCCAAAAUAAUCAGUGCAACUUGUGUAGAAAUGUUACCAGUCAGGUAUUAAGGAGCAGUAAAGCCACUCCACUAAAUUGCAGAAUUAUGCAGGAGUUUCAGUGAAGUUUCUCCAGCACCAAGGCUGGAGCAGUAUUAGCAUUAGCUGCUAUAAGCGCUAGCUCUUUCUGCUGCACCCAGCCUUAGUGGAAAUCUGGAAAUCUAAGCUUAAUGUAGCUUACUUUUUUAAAAUUACAGUUUUGUUUACUUAGCUUAACUGUACAAUAUUAGAAGGAAAACAUAUAUAUAGUGCGGAACAUAUUGUAUUUUAUUGAUUUAUUUUAUUUUUUUAUUCAGUGCACUGGGCAUAGCUAAGCUGCUGUUUGAUUGGUUGAUAAAUGUCUAUUCUGAUGGACAGGCAAUAGAUCUCAGUCUUGGUUAAGUGCAAAAAUAGACAAGAAAGAAGAAAAUAAAUAAUGCUAAUGCCUUCGCUAAAGACACAGAAACACACAACUUUUCAUCAGGAAGAAUUUAAAACUGGGAACUCAAACAUACUAUUGGUGAUAAGCCCAGCUGUCAAUCACUGGAACUCAUUAGCUUGAUAGUUUUUUAGAUUCUGCCGAAAAUGAAACCGAAAAUGAAACCGAAACUUCACGUGAAGCUCUGCUCUUUUGCACUUACAGUACAUAUCAGUUUAGGAGCGUAUAGGAACUGUUCAGGCGGAUAUUUAUAUUUUAUAAUUGGAACAGCCAAAUAAGCAUCUAUUUUGGUGUUAAUUUGAUGAGAUUUGGGCCACUUUUACAUGCUGUGUGUACAGAGUCAAAUGAAUGAAUCACAGCUUUAUCAGGCUCACCUUUUCCACAUUUCCUUAAAAAUUUCUGUGAAAAAAUAAAAUAAACUGCAUGACUGGAACCACGAAGGCUCAAAGGCCUGGGUCUGUUAUAGUUAUUAGUCACUAAAUGAACAAUGACUCAAAACAAACAACACAUUUUUGUAGGAGUAGGGCAUUAGAUAAGGCGCCCAUGGAAACCCAUUAUCAGCAAUAUCCCCCCGGGGUCGCUCCGAAUUUCUUGCACGGACUCGAGUUUACACUGACGAUUCUUUUUAGACGUGAUAAUGUGGACCCAGACUGGGAUGGAAUGCCAUGUGUUUUCAUGUGACCUCUUCUUUUGUUGCUGUUAUUGUGGUUUUAUAAAUAUAAAUGCCGGGACUACUUUUUAUUUCUUGAGGAAUUGUGAAUUGCUGAAUUGUAAAUAACAAUGAAAAAAAAAAAGGCUUUUAUUUAUUAACUUUUCUUAUUUGAGUUUGAAUUUGCACUCUAAUAAUUGCAGAACAAAAAAAAAGGGACGAAUUGUUCAAAAAGUCUCAGUGGUGUUGAAAUAAAGAUAAACUUUUCCUAA